GCGUCGUUCUAGACCUGCGCCUGCCGGCCACCAUUCAGUACAGCUGUAGCCCAUCACAUCCCCAACCUACUGCUCCCGGAGCCGGUCAUUUGAGUAUGGAGAGACGACGGCUUGAGAUGAACUCAAGAACUUGCUCUUUGAAAGCGGCAAUGUCAAGAAAUUGAAGGCACUAUUUGGCUCACCCAUGAGAAGCGCAAAAUAUAAUACAUGGAGGUAUUAGGCUGUUUACUGAAAUAUCACCACACUGCAGUACCAGUGGAUUCCGACAAAUCUUGCAGGUUCAGGGGCAGGCCACACCAACGGCAGAAGAGAGAGCUCAGAAAUUGUUUGGUAUCCAUCAUCAGCCUUUGCACCUAUUCGUGAUAUAUGCGGCUUUGCUAGAUGUACCUUCAUCUAUGGUUCUUCCAAGUGUGGUUGAUGAUCCGUAGGAGCUACCGGCAUCAUCUGAUGCAUCUGGAAUAAAUAAGAGAGGAGAAGAAUUCUAGCUUGGAUAGACAGCUGGAAGAUGCUAAGACUAAUAUGCAAGAGGAGAUCAUUCUGUUACAAAGAUAGAAGGAACACACCCUUUAUUGUUUACAAAAUUCAAA